AACGAACGCUGGCGGCAGGCUUAACACAUGCAAGUCGAGCGCCCCGCAAGGGGAGCGGCAGACGGGUGAGUAACGCGUGGGAAUCUACCCAUCUCUACGGAAUAACGCAUGGAAACGUGUGCUAAUACCGUAUACGUCCUUCGGGAGAAAGAUUUAUCGGAGAUGGAUGAGCCCGCGUUGGAUUAGCUAGUUGGUGGGGUAAAGGCCUACCAAGGCGACGAUCCAUAGCUGGUCUGAGAGGAUGAUCAGCCACACUGGGACUGAGACACGGCGCAGACUCGUACGGGAGGCCGCAGUGGGGAAUAUUGGACAAUGGGCGCAAACCUGAUCCAGCCAUGCCGCGUGAGAGAUGAAGGCCUUAGGGUUGUAAAGCUCUUUCACCGGUGAAGAUAAUGACGGUAACCGGAGAAGAAGCCCCGGCUAACUUCGUGCCAGCCGCCGCAGUAACAC
rnacentral:rRNA from 1 species